CAGCUGAUAGUAUGAAGUUGACUGUGGUCAUCUGUCAGGACGCCAUUGUUAUUGUGAAAAUUUUGUUGUGAAGUACAGUAUUCUUUGUCUGUCUGUCUAGUUUAUAUUAUCGUGUAUUUAAUAUUAAGAAAAAUUAUACGUGUGAAUGUAUUUAAUACAUUAAGAAGAAAGAAAACGUGCUAAUGGGUCUUAUUUGUUCCACAGCACAGCUUGCUUGCCUUUGUGGGAGCACAGCUUGCAGUUUCUGUUGUUCUCAAUGCCCAACAUGUCGCAACAGUACAAGUACUCGUAUUAUGUAUGCAUUAUUAUUAAUGCUAGGAACAAUUGCUGCUUGCAUUACAUUGGCUCCUGGUUUACAGGAUGCACUUAAAAAGGUUCCAUUUUGUAGCAAUAGCUCGAAUUAUGUGGUAUCAAAAUUCACUGUUGAUUGUGAAUCUGCUGUUGGUUACUUAGCAGUAUAUAGAAUAUGUUUUAUUAUAGCUCUUUAUUUUUUCUUAAUGUCAAUCAUAAUGAUAAGAGUAAGAAGUUCCAGAGAUCCUCGAGCUCCUAUACAAAAUGGAUUUUGGGCUAUUAAAUAUCUUUUAAUAAUUGGUGGAAUAAUUGGUGCUUUCUUUAUUCCUGAAAAAUCAUUUGGAACAACAUGGAUGUAUUUUGGAAUGAUAGGUGGUUUUCUUUUUAUUAUUAUUCAAUUAAUUCUUAUUGUUGAUUUUGCCCAUUCCUGGGCAAAUGCUUGGGUAGGAAAUUAUGAAGAAACUGAAUCAAAAGGAUGGUAUGCUGCACUUUUAGGAGCAACAUUAUUUAAUUAUAUUGUUUCUAUUACUGGAAUUGUUUUACUUUUUAUAUAUUUUACACAUGCCAAUAGUUGUGAUUUGAACAAAUUUUUCAUAUCUUUCAAUCUGAUUUUGUGUGUGAUUGCUAGUAUUAUAUCAACUCUUCCAAAUGUACAAGAAUAUAAUCCUCGAUCUGGUCUUCUUCAAUCAUCUGUUGUAUCAUUGUAUGUAGUUUAUUUAACUUGGAGUGGAAUUUCAAAUAAUCCAGAUCAUGAAUGCAAUCCUGGAUUUUUAGAAAUAAUUUUAAAUGAUGCUGAUUCACGAAAUCGUGUUGCUUUUGACAAAGAAAGUAUUAUUGGUUUAAUUAUUUGGUUUAGUUGUGUACUAUAUAGUUCUUUAAGUACUGCAUCUAAAUCAUCAAAGAUUACAAUGUCUGAAAACAUUUUAGUUAAGGAUAAUGGAGCUGUCAGGAAUGCAGGAGACCAGAAUCUUAUCGACAAUGAAGAUUAUACUCCGGUAGAAGGUCGCAAUGCUGAUUCAGAAAGUGGAAAUGAAGCUAAAGUUUGGGAUAAUGAAGAAGAUUCUGUAGCUUACAACUGGAGUUUCUUUCAUCUAAUGUUUGCUCUUGCUACUUUAUAUGUUAUGAUGACACUUACUAAUUGGUAUCAACCAAAUUCCAAUUUGGAUACAUUGAAUGCCAAUACUGCUUCAAUGUGGGUGAAAAUAAUAUCUUCUUGGAUGUGCUUAGGAUUAUAUAUUUGGUCAUUAAUAGCUCCAGCAGUAUUACCAAAUCGAGAUUUCUCUUAAAUAUAUUACUUUCAUUUCAAAAAAAGUGGUAAUUAGCAGUUUUUGCAAUACCUGCGUAGUUAUAAAAUGUUCAUCUAUAGAAAAUGACUUUUAUGAUGCAUCACAAUUACCCAUGCAAAAAUUGCACACCAACCAAUAGGAGCAAAUGCAUUAUACAUUGCUGCAUCUAUCGGAUUAUAUAUAUAAUUUAUAGAUCCCAUAUGUGCAGGUCCAAAAAAUGCACAACAAAACAUUAUUGUACAUAAAAUCCAACCUACAUAUAGAGUUAUCUAAAAAAAUAUAAAAAUAUAUUGUAUCGAUUGAUAAUACAUACAUACAUAUAUAAAAUAAAUAAUAUAAAUAAAUAUUUACUUUAUUCAUCUUAUAA